rnacentral:rRNA from 1 species
UACGUAGGGGGCAAGCGUUGUCCGGAAUCAUUGGGCGUAAAGCGCGUGUAGGCGGCUCGGUAAGUCCGCUCUGAAAGUCCAGGGCUCAACCCUGGGAUGCGGGUGGAUACUGCCGAGCUCGAGUCCGGAAGAGGCGAGUGGAAUUCCUGGUGUAGCGGUGAAAUGCGCAGAUAUCAGGAAGAACACCCGUGGCGAAGGCGGCUCCUCUGGAACGCAACUGACGCUGAGACGCGAAAGCGUGGGGAGCAAACAGG